CUUCAACCCCCUCUCUGGAGGAGGGGGACGCGCGCGUGGAGUGUCCCCAGGUCCCCCAGCUCCUUCUCCUUGGCCGUCUCCAGCCAGAUUUCCUGAUGCGUCCAGCUGGUUAAAAUGCCUUCUUCCUUUGAACCCUUCAUACCCUCUUGGUUGAGAAUCUGCCUGCUAGUGCAGGGGACACGGGUUUGAGCCCUGGUCUGGGAAGAUCCCACAUGCCGCAGAGCAGCUGGGCCCGUGAGCCACAACUACUGAGCCUGCGCGUCUGGAGCCUGUGCCCCGCAACGGGAGGGGCCGCGAUAGUGAAAGGCCCGCGCACCGCGAUGAAGAGCGGUCCCCGCACCGCGAUGAAGAGUGGCCCCCACUUGCCGUAACUAGAGAAAACCCUCACACGAACUGAAGACCCAACACAGCCAAUAAAUAAAUAAAUAAAUAAAUAAAUAAAUAAAUAAAUAAGAGGAAAUAUUUAAAAAAAAAAAUUUCUUGAUAAUUAUCUUGUGAAUAAUGAACAUAGUUGCGAGUAUAGAAUAUGAUGGGGUUUUUUUACCCCCAAAAUAU